ACCACGAUGCUGCUGCUGUUGCUCCUCCCAAACAGUAUAUGUGCGCUUGGAAAAUGUAGACAAGGAUUUUAGCACGAAUUCGGAUUAGGACUGACGUGGGCACUCAUAUUUUGCGCCCUGAAAAGAAAAGACGUUUCAUAAAAAUGACCCGUAGUUGCGUUCUCGUGAGAGACAAUGUGAAUUUCCAAUUGAAAUGAAACGACCUGCAUAUUAUAAAAAGUAGACUGAGCAUUAAUAAUAGUAAUUCAGCAUCCGUGCACUGAUGCAUAUGGAGUGUAGACUUUCUUUAUGUAUUAAAAAUGCUUGUCUGUAUUCGUGCCACCAACUAAGCUGUACAGCCGAACUUUUGCAACUGCAGUCUCUCAGAGGAGUCCACUGAUGUGCAAUAACAUGGGAAACACCUAACUGUCGAUAACCCUCAAUACCUGGUUUAUGCUAUGGAUAACGCCAUGUCCGGCAGGAUUGCUUCCACAGUUGGCAGUGGCAUAAUCAAGAUUUGGACUGUGGGGUUCAUCGAUGAACCAAGUUCUUUGUGUCACCAGGCAAAGGGUGCAAUGUUUUCCAAUAAUUAUAUUUUCAUUUACAGUUACUUUUGCAUAAUUUUUUACUUAUCCUUGUUGGAAAUUAGUUUAGUUUUUAUCAUUAACAACAUAAAGCAAGGUUGUCUGAAUCAAUGAAUGUUUUUGGUUUUUUAAAUAUAUUCCUAUUGGAGCAGA